AGAAAUGCCUUGUGUCAGUUUGUGGUUACAAACAAAAAUUAAAGUUGAAAAUAAAUAUUGAAAAAAAAACUACUAAUAUUAAUUUUACAUGGAAAAUCUAAGAAUAAUUUAUUUGUAUUUUGCCAUAAAAAUUCAUUGAGGAAACAUGAUGAAUUUGCUUUUUAAUGAAAAACUAUAUAUUGAAUAAAAAGAGAAUGAAGAUUAACUACAGCACCUUCUAUACAGGAUGAAGAAAACGUAAGAUAAAUAUGAAUAUUUAAACUAAAUCAAUGGUGAUAGCCAAAGAUCCAAUGAUGGAAACUAGUUGUUCAAAACUAUAUUAUACAAUGAACAAUGAAAUUCAAUCACUUUCGAGUCGCAAUAUCAAGUAAGAGACAUGGGAAUUUUUGGCAGUUUCUAUUAGAAAUAUACUGUGGAGGAGUAGAUUCCGUAUACAACAUUCGAGGAAGAUGACAGAUGUAACAGCAAGGAAAAAAAUCAGGUUUUUGGGUUUGAGCAAUGGUUUUCAGGAACAACUAAUUUGUACUUCAUUGUAUUUGUUAUCCUGUUUGAAACUGUUUCUUAUGAUAAUGGUUAUGAUGGGCGAGGGAAUACAAAAACACAAAAUUAUAUUCAACGAGAUUUAUUCAAAUCUUAAUAUUGAAUAAUAGAGUUAUCAACAUUACAUUUUCAAAAUAUUACACAAGGCUAUAAUUAAAAAUUUGUUUAAUUAUCCAAAAUUAAAAUAAUCACAUAUUUUCACUACUAUUUGGAUAAUGGUUAAUACAUAAUAUAGUAAAAUUAAUAAAAUAACUUCUAAUAUUGUUUACACUUAUUACUAUAUAUGCCCAACAGGCAUUGAAUUAAAAAAUCUCUUUAUUUCCAAUUUAAAUGAUACUAGAAGAAAGCAGAAAAUAAUUUAAGAAUUGAAUAUAAGAGAGGGACACAAAAAACAAAGAUAGUCAAAGGAAAAAUAGUCAUAUUUUAUAUUAAAGAAUUAUGGGGACAGUGGAUCAAAGUACAAUAUUUGUAGUCACUUAGACCAACUUAAAAAAAUAGCUCUUAAGAUUUGAUAAUUUAUGGAGAAAGUAUUGGCUUUAAAAGGAGCAUUUUUUUCUAAGGACAUUCUACCCCUAUGCAAUCACUCUACUCCUAUCUCUGUUUUGGUAUUGAAAUAGGGUUGAAAAUAUUUUUCCCUAAAAUACCCAAACCCCUUCCAUUUUACUAAAUGCUCUUUGAUCCUUCUUCUCCAGAUAACUCUUCAUAUAUAGCUACAAAUAAAAAAAAAGAAUAAGGUUGCAAGAAGAAUGAAAGAAUGGACAGAAUACGGAACCAUGAGAUAGGAGAAGAGUUAGCCAAAAGAUUUAUACUAAGUGAUAAUUUCUGAUAUUUCUAUGGAACAUACUGUUUAUGGUAUCACUACACUAACAUUCAUAAUUACAUGCCUGAAGCGCGUUUUGAUAACCCAGUUAUCAUCUCAAGAAUGUGGAUAGAAGUAAAUGUAGAAACGGAUUCAAAGUACAAUUUAAAAGUGAUGCGUAACAAUAUACUAAAAUUAAUACACCUCACAACUAAUUUAUAGUCUAUGUUUCCAUGCAUUCCAAACGAUUUACUUGAGUGGUUGAUUUUAUCCAUACACAAAUUCUUUCUUCUGUAUCUUGAUGACACCAUUUCCAUAUUGAGACGAUAACUUGUUUGUACCAUUAAUCAAUCUGAAU